UGGGCAGAGCCCCUAGGUCCUGGAGGACAUCAGGUGGGUGUUGGGCAGAGCCCCUAGGUCCUGGAGGACAUCAGGUGGGUGUUGGGCAGAGCCCCUAGGUCCUGGAGGACAUCAGGUGGGUGUUGGGCAGAGCCCCUAGGUCCUGGAGAACAGGUAACGGAGGACAUCGGUGGAUCUGGGUGUUGGGUUGAACCCCCUAGGUCCUGGAGAACAUCAGUUGGGUUUGGGUGUUGGGCAGAACCCCCUAGGUCCUGGAGAACAUCAGUUGGGUCUGGGUGUUGGGUUGAACCCCCUAGGUCCUGGAGAACAUCAGUUGGGUCUGGGUGUUGGGCAGAACCCCCUAGGUCCUGGAGAACAUCAGGUGGGUGUUGGGCAGAACCCCCUAGGUCCUGGAGAACAGGUAAUGGAGGACAUCAGGUGGGUGUUGGGCAGAACCCCUAGGUCCUGGAGAACAGGUAACGGAGGACAUCGGUGGAUCUGGGUGUUGGGUUGAACCCCCUAGGUCCUGGAGAACAUCAGUUGGGUUUGGGUGUUGGGCAGAACCCCCUAGGUCCUGGAGAACAUCAGUUGGGUCUGGGUGUUGGGUUGAACCCCCUAGGUCCUGGAGAACAUCAGUUGGGUCUGGGUGUUGGGCAGAACCCCUAGGUCCUGGAGAUCAAGAGCAGAGUUAGAGGUUAGGAGACAGACGUCAACAAGCAAACACACAGUUUACACUUUACUGGGAGAACAUUUUGAUGGAUUAGUGCAGUGUUAUAAAUGGGAGAUAUUUACUUUUCAACACUUGGAUGGUACAGCCUACCUCAAGCUGGUCCCCCUCUGACUCCGAGCACAGAUAAUCAGACUGAUCUGAACUCACUGGUUCUGGUGGAUGGGAUACUUCCUAGGGAGCUCAGACAGUUAAUGGUCCUCAAG
ensembl:lncRNA